rnacentral:rRNA from 1 species
GACGAACGCUGGCGGCGUGCUUAACACAUGCAAGUCGAACGGAAAGGCCCUGCUUUUGUGGGGUGCUCGAGUGGCGAACGGGUGAGUAACACGUGAGUAACCUGCCCUUGACUUUGGGAUAACUUCAGGAAACUGGGGCUAAUACCGGAUAGGAGCUCCUGCUGCAUGGUGGGGGUUGGAAAGUUUCGGCGGUUGGGGAUGGACUCGCGGCUUAUCAGCUUGUUGGUGGGGUAGUGGCUUACCAAGGCUUUGACGGGUAGCCGGCCUGAGAGGGUGACCGGCGACAUUGGGACUGAGAUACGGCGCAGAAGCCUACGGGAGGCAGCAGUGGGGAAUAUUGCACAAUGGGCGGAAGCCUGAUGCAGCAACGCCGGGUGCGGGAUGACGGCCUUCGGGUUGUAAACCGCUUUCGCCUGUGACGAAGCGUGAGUGACGGUAAUGGGUAAAGAAGCACCGGCUAACUACGUG